CUGAUUUAUAAUUACUUUUUUUUUCUUUUUGUCCUGUUUUGUGAUAAGUUGUUUUUAAAAGGAUUGUCCUACGUGGUUGUUUUGUAACUAGUGGAGGAAAGAAGGAAGGAUCCCUCUCAAGCGUUUCUGAUAUGACAGCUUUGGUUUCUGAAGAGUUAAAUGGUGUUUGCAUGAUACACCUAUUGCUAGUCUGGUAGCAGACUUUUCAUCGUUUUAUUUGCUUUUUUUAUUAACUGGGGCUGGUGGAGAGGGCUCUAUUGGCCAGAAGAAUAUUUGCACAUAUAUAUUUGUAUACAUUUUUGGUGGGGUUCUCCCCACAUUUUACUCUUUCUUGAUGACUCCUGGAGGUGGUAGUGGGCCCAUGAAAGACUGUGAAUACAGUCAGAUCAGCACACACAGCUCUUCGUCUCCCAUGGAGUCUCCCCAUAAGAAAAAGAAAUCAGUUCCCAAGAGAAAAUGGGAGGUUUUUCCUGGAAGAAACAAAUUCUUCUGCAAUGGGAGGAUCAUGAUGGCUCGACAGACUGGAGUCUUCUACCUGACUCUUGUUCUCAUCUUGGUCACCAGUGGACUCUUCUUUGCAUUUGAUUGCCCGUAUUUGUCAGAGAAGAUUACGCCUGCUAUACCUGCAAUUGGUGGGAUUCUUUUCUUUUUCGUGAUGGGGACCCUGCUGCGUACUAGUUUCAGUGAUCCUGGUGUCCUCCCCCGCGCAACACCAGAUGAGGCAGCAGAUCUAGAGAGACAAAUAGGUAACACUGAAGAUAUAGCAAAUGGCUCCAGUUCAGGAGGAUAUCGCCCCCCUCCCAGAACAAAAGAAGUGAUCAUCAAUGGACAGACAGUGAAACUAAAAUAUUGUUUUACUUGCAAGAUUUUCCGCCCACCUCGUGCCUCACAUUGCAGCCUUUGUGAUAACUGCGUAGAACGGUUUGAUCACCACUGUCCCUGGGUAGGCAACUGUGUGGGGAAAAGAAACUACAGAUUUUUUUAUAUGUUUAUUUUAUCUCUGUCCUUUCUGACAGUCUUUAUAUUUGCAUUCGUUAUCACCCACGUCAUCCUUCGUUCUCAACAAACAGGGUUCCUCAAUGCUCUGAAGGACAGUCCUGCAAGUGUGCUGGAAGCUGUGGUGUGUUUUUUCUCAGUAUGGUCCAUUGUUGGCCUCUCAGGUUUUCAUACGUAUUUGAUCAGCUCCAAUCAAACAACAAAUGAAGAUAUUAAAGGAUCAUGGUCAAAUAAAAGAGGUAAAGAAAAUUAUAAUCCCUACAGUUAUGGCAACAUCUUUACUAAUUGCUGUGCUGCUCUCUGUGGGCCCCUUUCUCCAAGCUUAAUUGACAGAAGAGGAUUUAUACAGCCAGAUACACCGCAGUUAGCAGGACCAUCAAAUGGCAUUACCAUGUACGGGGCCACACAAUCUCAGAGCAACAUGGCUGCUGCCACCCCCCUCCUACAGAGUGAGCCAAGCAUAACUAGUGAAGAGCUCCCUUUACCAGGAAAGACUUCUAUCAGUGGCCCUUGUGCAACUCUGACUCUAGGGCAACCAACACCACCAUCUUCUAUGCCAAAUCUCACAUCAGAUUCAGGUUUGACAGACAUCAUACCAUUGAAAGAGGAGCACGAAGGCCAUCAGUUUCUCACUCCUGAAGAAGCUCCAUCACCCCCUGGGAUGCUGCCGAGUGGAAGUCCUAUUACACACAGCCAUACAAUGCACGUCCUGAGUCUAGCCAGCCAGGACUCAUUGCAUGAAGACUCAGUGCGUGGUCUUGUAAAGCUUAGCUCAGUUUGAACAGCUUUUCUGAACAUCACACCAUUUCCUGGUGUCUAUACAAAUCUGUGCUUAAUGGGAAUGACACUGCAGUACCACUGUAAGGCUUCGUAACAUGCCUGUAAUGGAAACUUUAUCACUUAAUGGAAUCUACUAAAAGGACAAGUUUUUUUUUCAAUGGAGCUAUGGCAUUUUUUUGACCAGGUCGUUAACAGUUGUGCUUUGAUGGUGACUGCAUUUAACUUUUAAAUAAAACCAGAAAAGGUCAAUAAUCUUGUUUCCUGACGCUUGGGUACAGCGAGUUGGAAGUCAGCCUGUAACAAAUACCAUGUACAGUACAAAAGAGAGAUUCUUGGAUGUAAGUGUCAUGCUCUGUGUUCUAUGCUCUUGUAAUACACACUUGUUACGGCUUACCACACCUGUGGCCAGAAUGAUCUGCACUUACAGAUUGUUAUGCUGUUAUAUUACCAGUAUUUGAGAUAGAGAAUUACCAUUCCAUUUGUUAAUACAAAACAAAACAAAAGACUGCAGAUGUGGAUUUGCAUGCCACGCUACAGUAUGUGUUACAGUGGUGUUGGUAUUAAGAGAAAGUGCUGCUUUUUUAUUUGUGACUUUCAAAGUGCUGUUUCGUUUAAAGACAGUACAACAAACAAAUUAAUGGACUAUAUUUUUUCAAUUUAUUAAAUUUUAUUUUAAAUUAAUCAGUGGUGCCUAGAAGAUGAUGAAUUACUGAUUUGAUCAUGUUGCAUAUCAUUUAACCUUCUGUUUAAGUGUUUAAGUGAGGUAUUGUGUUGUGCCAUACCACAAGAUUCUUCCACUCCCUAAUGUGAUACAAUUACCUGUGGACCUCCAAUAAAAUGACAUCCUCUAUUUUGUGGACGUGUACAGUUAUCCUUACACAGGUUUCAUGGGGAAAGAGGGGGAAAUCAUGACUUGUUGACAUAGUUUAUAAAGAUUUGACUGGCAUAUGUGUACGUGAUAAAACUAGAGCUAUGAAAGAAUAGCUGGUUAUGAUUAGGAUUGCUUCACCUUUUUUUAUGGUUUUAUUUGAGCUGUGUAUUUGUUCCCAUAGGAGGUCUUUAUUUGGAACCAGUAGAAUUAACCUCUGCUUGCACUGUAAUUCAGUGUGGCUGAAGGGUGAGUGGCUUAGGAUUCAAGACAAAGAGAGAGCUUAGUGAAGUAAUCUUCUAUGAUUAAUAGUCUGUAGCUGUUUCCCAGUCAUCGUUCAUCAUUUGCAUUUGUCCUUUGAUAUUUUAAAUGGAAAUCUUGAUUUCAUGGAAUUAUUCUGUGCUUUUUGUUUGCUUGUUUAGGUAAAGCACAACUUAAAGAGAAUUUUAUAAGUAUAUUUUGUGACAGCUGAAGAGAACCUUAGUUAAGCUGAAAAACUGUAAUAGCUUUAAUACAAUAUUUACCUGCUUUUCAGCAGGUGAAAUACAGCUUUAAUACUGUAUUAACCUGGCUUCUUCUUCCCCUAGGACAAAUUGCGUGCAGAAUGGGCUUUAUCUGAUAUUUCUAUGGCAUGAAAGCAUUCGCCAGUUAAGAAAUGUAACAGUUCUGUAUUGUUGACCAUAGUCAUUCACUGACUCCAAGCUAAAAUAUCUGUUUUAACUUUUGUUAGUUUUUGAAAUUCAGAACAAUCAGCUUGCAGAAAAUCAUUCACUCAUGCUAUUGAAGAUUCAGACAAGAUACUGACAAAAUCCCUACUCCUGUAUGAUUUCAUGAGCAGUCUGUUUCUAAAAUUGAUGAUGUUAGCUUGGAUCUAAUUCAGUAUGUAGAACACAGCAAUGCUUUCUGUCUGUAAGUGUUAUAAUGGAUCUACCAAAGAACCUCUGGCAGACAAAUCUGUCCCAGUUAUUUGAGCCACUGAAGAAGGUCUGGCAGACAAGUCUGCCCCAGCUAUUGUAACCACCCUCCCAGCAUUUUCCAGAAGCUGGGACAGUCUAGAGUUCUUUCCACCAGCCAGAGUGUAGUGACUGACAUGUCCCAGUUGGCUGGUCUCCCAGUAAGCUGUAAGUUUCAGCACUUCUGUGUCUGCUCUAGGAGAAGGCAGUGAUGCUCAUCUUCUUGAUUUCACCCUUCCCUGACUUCUUGGGUAUGAAGCCAUGAACAUCUACGUUAAAGCAGGCAAUGGAUUGAGGGCUGGAGAUACGAGUCUGAUAGACCUGGGUAAAGAAUCCCAGCUUUGGGUUAGUAGACCAGUACUUGAUGAAUCAGUCUCUUCUCUCAUAGGUGUCUGUGGGUAGUUAACUGUGAAUGCAUUACUCACUACUUAGAAGAGCAAGUCAAAUAUUUUUAAUGUGGUAUCAAAACUUUCCAUUUGUACAAGUCAGGAUGAGAAUGAUUAUUUUAAGGAAAUUGUUCUUUUUAAGUUUCCCUUAAAUAGCUGGUGGAUUUCAUGUUUCCAAGAAUACCAGCUUCGUGACAACAUUUGUAUGUCACUGCCACUAGGGAGUAGUGAAGAAGGCUCUGUGCACAAUAAAAUUAGUGUCAGUUUUAGCAUGAAAGGGAAGGGAGGGGUACAGGAUUAGAGACUUUAUGCUGUUUGCCUUGUGCUCAUGCUUUUCACCAUCAUUUUUUGAACCUUCUGUUUUGUUUACAUGUGAGGCCUAAGGAAUUAGUAAACAUUGGUGGAAAGAGAUGUGCUGCUUCAAACGUACUUGUUCAGGUGACUUUUAGUUUUUAAGAUGGCACUCCUUUUUUCUAGAUGUGCUGCCUAUGUUUUCAAAUUUGGCUUUUGAGAAUACACUGAAUACUUUGAAUUCAUUCAUACAUUUAUAUCACCCCUAUUUUAAGUCUCUUUUCCUCCCUAUCUGUCUGUUUUAAAUGGUGACAUCUUGAACCUCCCAGACAUGCCUGCCUUGCGAGGACAUCUGCUGGAAGGCUUCGGAACUAAGUCCUAACCCAUCCGGAACGGUAAUUGCAGCUUUUGACUGACAGAAGUCAGUGAUUCAGCACCAGGUUGAUCAAAAAGGUACCUCUAACAGGGUUUUUGGUCCCUUCCCCUCACCUCCAUCACACCUGCCUUCAGUCCUCGGCAGUCCCUCCGUUGGAACUUGUGUUUAUAUCUGGAAUGAGUCAGCAAAGUAACUAUUCAUCACCUUCUCUACAGAUUUGAUUGUUUGUAUUUUAUUUGGAAGUAUGAUUACAGAGCAUGCACACUAAGGAUCUAAAAUUAUAAUCCUUGUAAGUACUGCACAGGGUUUUUACUAUUUGUUUUAUUUUUCUGUGACAGUAUACUAUUAUUAAAUAGCUCUUUCCAGGUUUGAUUUAUAAAUCUAGAAUAAAAGUUGUUAUUUUCAGGAGAGUAUUUGUUUCUUAAAAGCUCAAAAUCUUUGAAUGUGUAAAAACUGGUUAGUUUAUCUGAUUUAAAAUAUUUAUUCUGCUUUGGUUUUUUUAAAAUAAUAUUUCCCCUUCUAGUUGUCUAUAUAAUCAUCUUUGUAGAAUGAAAUACAUUGCUUCAUAA